rnacentral:rRNA from 1 species
AUGAUGGAGCACCCAGAAUCUCCGAUGCUCCAGGAUUCAAUUGAGCCAGGAUCAGCUGAGGUCGACUUCCUCCCCCUCCUCUGCCCGGUCGAGCUUGCCUGUCAAGGCGCCCCCAUCCAGGAUGCUGCCAAACAUGGCGGCCUCGUACAGGUAGUUCACCUGCCAGGCGUGGUGGCUCGCAUGGGCGAGGAGCCAGGCCAUUUCGUCGACGAGACCAUUGGAGAAGAGCCGGGCCAGUUGCAGGCGCACGGAUUCAGCGAGGUGCUCCUCACGCUGCUCGUCCACCUUGCCCUGCCGAACGUACUCCAGCGGGCCGGUGACGAGGGACCACCAGAGGGCGCCGAGCAGCUGGUCCUGGCGGUCGAGGAGGAACUGGCGCACAUGGUUGCAUGUUUCCUCGCCGUCGCAGGUGUACUCGGGGUCUAG